UACGUAGGCAGCGAGCGUUUGUUCGGAAUUACUGGGGCGUAAAGAGUGUGUAGGCGGUGCUCUAAGUUCGGUGUGAAAUCUCCUGGCUCAACUGGGAGGGUGCGCCGGAAACUGGAGUGCUUGAGCGUGGGAGAGGAAAGCGGAAUUCCUGGUGUAGCGGUGAAAUGCGUAGAUAUCAGGAGGAACACCCUGUGGUGUAGACAGCUUACUGGGACCAUUUCUGGACGCUGGAGACACGAAAGCGUGGGUAGCAAAC
rnacentral:rRNA from 1 species